AGAGUUUGAUCAUGGCUCAGAUUGAACGCUGGCGGCAUGCCUUACACAUGCAAGUCGAGCGGUAGAGAGAAGCUUGCUUCUCUUGAGAGCGGCGGACGGGUGAGUAAUGCCUAGGAAUCUGCCUGGUAGUGGGGGAUAACGCUCGGAAACGGACGCUAAUACCGCAUACGUCCUACGGGAGAAAGCAGGGGACCUUCGGGCCUUGCGCUAUCAGAUGAGCCUAGGUCGGAUUAGCUAGUUGGUGAGGUAAUGGCUCACCAAGGCGACGAUCCGUAACUGGUCUGAGAGGAUGAUCAGUCACACUGGAACUGAGACACGGUCCAGACUCCUACGGGAGGCAGCAGUGGGGAAUAUUGGACAAUGGGCGAAAGCCUGAUCCAGCCAUGCCGCGUGUGUGAAGAAGGUCUUCGGAUUGUAAAGCACUUUAAGUUGGGAGGAAGGGUUGUAACCUAAUACGUUGCAAUCUUGACGUUACCGACAGAAUAAGCACCGGCUAACUCUGUGCCAGCAGCCGCGGUAAUACAGAGGGUGCAAGCGUUAAUCGGAAUUACUGGGCGUAAAGCGCGCGUAGGUGGUUUGUUAAGUUGGAUGUGAAAGCCCCGGGCUCAACCUGGGAACUGCAUUCAAAACUGACAAGCUAGAGUAUGGUAGAGGGUGGUGGAAUUUCCUGUAGCGGUGAAAUGCGUAGAUAUAGGAAGGAACACCAGUGGCGAAGGCGACCACCUGGACUGAUACUGACACUGAGGUGCGAAAGCGUGGGGAGCAAACAGGAUUAGAUACCCUAGUAGUCC
rnacentral:rRNA from 1 species